UAGGGAAUCUUCGGCAAUGGGGGCAACCCUGACCGAGCAACGCCGCGUGAGUGAAGAAGGUUUUCGGAUCGUAAAGCUCUGUUGUAAGAGAAGAACGUGUGUGAGAGUGGAAAGUUCACACAGUGACGGUAACUUACCAGAAAGGGACGGCUAACUACGUGCCAGCAGCCGCGGUAAUACGUAGGUCCCGAGCGUUGUCCGGAUUUAUUGGGCGUAAAGCGAGCGCAGGCGGUUUAAUAAGUCUGAAGUUAAAGGCAGUGGCUUAACCAUUGUUCGCUUUGGAAACUGUUAAACUUGAGGGCAGAAGGGGAGAGUGGAAUUACAUGUGUAGCGGUGAAAUGCGUAGAUAUAUGGAGGAACACCGGUGGCGAAAGCGGCUCUCUGGUCUGUAACUGACGCUGAGGCUCGAAAGCGUGGGGAGCAAACAGG
rnacentral:rRNA from 1 species